AGGAAACUUCUAGUCUUCCCCUGUACUCUGCUCAGGUAUUAAGGUAUUUGUUGGAGAGAUCAGUCUUCCCCUGUACUCUGCUCAGGUAUUAAGGUAUUUGUUGGAGGGAUCUGCACUCUACAUUUGGGCAUC